UACGAAGGGGGCUAGCGUUGUUCGGAAUCACUGGGCGUAAAGGGCGCGUAGGCGGCUUUGUCAGUCGGGGGUGAAAGCCUGUGGCUCAACCACAGAAUUGCCUUCGAUACUGCAUGGCUUGAGACCGGAAGAGGUUAGUGGAACUGCGAGUGUAGAGGUGAAAUUCGUAGAUAUUCGCAAGAACACCAGUGGCGAAGGCGGCUGACUGGUCCGGUUCUGACGCCGAGGCGCGAAAGCGUGGGGAGCAAACAGG
rnacentral:rRNA from 1 species